UGCACAGGGUGGUCCCAUGACCCCUGAGGAG
rnacentral:piRNA from 1 species